rnacentral:rRNA from 1 species
CGCGGUAAUACGGAAGGUCCGGGCGUUAUCCGGAUUUAUUGGGUUUAAAGGGAGCGUAGGCCGGAGAUUAAGCGUGUUGUGAAAUGUAGUGGCUCAACCUCUGCACUGCAGCGCGAACUGGUCUUCUUGAGUACGCGCAACGUGGGCGGAAUUCGUGGUGUAGCAGUGAAAUGCUUAGAUAUCACGAAGAACUCCGAUUGCGAAGGCAGCUCACGGGAGCGCAACUGACGCUGAAGCUCGAAAGUGCGGGUAUCGAACAGGAUUAGAUACCCUGGUAGUCCGCACGGUAAACGAUGGAUGCCCGCUGUUGGCCUGAAUAGGUCAGCGGCCAAGCGAAAGCAUUAAGCAUCCCACCUGGGGAGUACGCCGGCAAUGGUGAAACUCAAAGGAAUUGACGGGGGCCCGCACAAGCGGAGGAACAUGUGGUUUAAUUCGAUGAUACGCGAGGAACCUUACCCGGGCUUGAAUUGCAGAGGAAGGAUUUGGAGACAAUGACGCCCUUCGGGGUCUCUGUGAAGGUGCUGCAUGGUUGUCGUCAGCUCGUGCCGUGAGGUGUCGGCUUAAGUGCCAUAACGAGCGCAACCCCUCUCCUCAGUUGCCAUCAGGUUAAGCUGGGCACUCUGGGGACACUGCCACCGUAAGGUGUGGGGAAGGUGGGGAUGACGUCAAAUCAGCACGGCCCUUACGUCCGGGGCUACACACGUGUUACAAUGGCAGGUACAGAGAGAGGGUCGUUCGCAAGUGCGAUCAAAUCCUUAAAGCCUGUCUCAGUUCGGACUGGGGUCUGCAACCCGACCCCACGAAGCUGGAUUCGCUAGUAAUCGCGCAUCAGCCAUG